GAUGAACGCUGGCGGCGUGCCUAAUACAUGCAAGUCGAGCGAACGGACGAGAAGCUUGCUUCUCUGAUGUUAGCGGCGGACGGGUGAGUAACACGUGGAUAACCUACCUAUAAGACUGGGAUAACUUCGGGAAACCGGAGCUAAUACCGGAUGAUAUUUUGAACCGCAUGGUUCAAAAGUGAAAGACGGUCUUGCUGUCACUUAUAGAUGGAUCCGCGCUGCAUUAGCUAGUUGGUAAGGUAACGGCUUACCAAGGCAACGAUGCAUAGCCGACCUGAGAGGGUGAUCGGCCACACGGGAACUGAGACACGUUCCAGACUCCUACGGGAGGCAGCAGUAGGGAAUCUUCCGCAAUGGGCGAAAGCCUGACGGAGCAACGCCGCGUGAGUGAUGAAGGUCUUCGGAUCGUAAAACUCUGUUAUUAGGGAAGAACAUAUGUGUAAGUAACUGUGCACAUCUUGACGGUACCUAAUCAGAAAGCCACGGCUAACUACGUG
rnacentral:rRNA from 1 species